rnacentral:lncRNA from 1 species
AACCUCUAUCAUACUUCACUCCCACACAACUUUAGCUUCUUUAUUCUUUAUGCCUCCAAAAGAAUGUUGACUGGACCAAGAUCCUCAUCCUAUUUUACUUGAUCUGGAAAAACAACAUUAGAUAUUGGGAUGAGCAUAAAACGCUGGUAAGUUCAAGCCAACACCUCAAGCAACCAGAAUCUAUUUUACAAUGCAGAAACUCAUCCACCCUAAUAGGUGUUUUUCGCAACUCAAAACACUUACCUGAAUUUUCUUCUUAUACUCAUCUUGCAAGUUUCUUCCAGCCACUAUCAAGACUUUACAAUUUCCAUAACAUAUUGUACAAUUUAAACAGAAUAACCGACAUUCAACUUACUUUCAUGUUCAUCCAUUUGCAGAACUAAGCUGCUUCCCCGCACUGUUUUUUCACAUACAUGUUUAAGUUUAUAUACAUGCAGUUAUUCUUGUCCAGCAGAUGAAAAAAAAACAUUCAGUGUAUACAUAUCCAUUAAAUCGUUCAAUAUAGAUGUCUAUUUAACUUAUUAGUAUCUCAACUUUUAUUUCCAUGAUUUCCCCUCAUCUCUUUCAUACACAUACAAUAACUCUUAUCUCGCGACUGAAAAACAUUAAAGUAAUAUAUAUUUGUCAACUGAAUCACCCAACACAAUUACUUAUUUCACCCAUUCAUAACUUCAUACUUUGUUUUCAUGAUUAUCCCUCAUCUAUCUCUUAUUUUAACUAAUUUUCUAUCAGAUUUCACACCCCGCUCCACCGGUCCAUUUCUCUACCUGUACUGUUCACACCAGCAAAUAAUGUACACACACAGAACACUAAGGCCACAACACACACACACAGGUGUAUUCGGCAUGCCAGGCACGGUCCUUCUGGCCUUCUCUUUCUAGGCCACAACUCUGGCGUCAUAUACAGAACAUAUUCGGGAGAUUCACUCCCUUCGGACCCUCUAUUAUCUCGGUCCACUCUGCUGAUUGAUUUUUAGUCAGCUGGUUCCCAUCUCUCCUGCCAGCACAUGCCCCCCCCACACACACCACACAAUAAGAAACAACAUACAGAAAAAUAUGAAUUAGCCUCAGUUUAAUAUUGAUUAGUAUUUACUUUCUAUCUUCUGUCACCAGUGUCCUCAUUAUCCCAUACUACCAUCCCUAUCGUUUAGGACCCCAUAUUAAACUCUUUUCAUGCUCAUUCGUCAUUAUUACUAUUCUGUCCUCACCCACGUUCACCGAUUUUUUGUCACUGAAAUGCAUGGUUCACCUGAAAGUACAUCAACUCACCUCAAAACCGUCUCAGCUAACCUAUCAUCCAAUAAGUUUCUCUUCUGUAUCAAUUAUCAAAUUUUGUUCAUGCUUAUGCCUACCCAGAAUCCCUUCUUGUCCCUCUUUGUGACACUCAUCUCUCAUUCGAUGUUCUCUCUGUCUAUCUCUAACUUUUCCCUUCCCUGGCUACUAUACACUUCAGAAAUUCACUCCUAGAUUUUGGUUAACCCGGCCCAGUUUUAAACUCAGAACCUCAAUCUAUUAGCCUCACCUGAGCUCUCUCCCUCAGCCUAUCAUUCGGCCAUAACCACAGUGAAAUUCGGACAAUGUAAUACAUACCAGUACACAUAUAUGCAUUUUACAUUUACUGUUAAGUUUUCUUACAGCCUGCUUCCAUCUGUUUCUGGAGACUGAAAUGAACUUACCUCUCGGAUUUGCACGACGGAAAUAAAUUGAGUGGACUCUCUUCCUCUUUUUAGUUCCUCUCAGCUAGCGAUGCUUCUCUGCUUGGUUGCUCUCCUCUCUUUCACGAAUUUCUUACUAUUUUGCUCCCUCUCCAUCCAUCGGCAGCCUCUCUCUCUCUUAGGGUUUCUUCUUCUUUCCCUCCUUUUUCUUUGGUGUAAAAACAGUGCCCUUUAUAUAGUGGGUAAAGUUAGAUCAUAGUCGUCCAUUAUGGAUGAGAUUUUUACCCUCAAUUUCUUAUUUCUUUUUUCUUUCUUGUGAUGUUACAUACUUCUCCGUCAAAAAAAAAUUUGUCCUUCAAAUUUACACUUGGUUUGGAAUUUAUUUCAAGUGGUAAUGUUUGGUUUUAGCUCUUGCAAGUAUACCUUAAACUUUUAAAAUUUUCAAAUAUCUAUACUUAAGUAUGGUCUUAAGAUAUAUGUUGCGUAUUUAUUACAUCAUUAUUUUUUUUUUCCGUUAAUUCAAAGAGAAAUCUUCUAUGUGUGGUGGGUUAUUGGUCCUCCACUCUCCCACUACUCUAUUUUAGUGAAGUUCACUUUGGAGCCCCAUCUUAGUAUAUUGCAUUAUUUUCGUAUUUUUUUAAUCUACAAAAGACUUAUAUUCUAGAUUUAUCAUCCACAGGUAAUGACUUAUUAUUAGAACAUGUUCCUAGAACAUUCUCUUUCUUCUUCAAAAUUUUAUUUUAGAGGGGACAAGAAGUGUCAGGAAGAAGAGUUUUAAUUUGGCAUACUUUUUUUCAUCCCACACAAAAAUAUUUAUAUCUACCUAGCAUGUGAGAAUUUAAUAUUUAAGGGUUUUCUGAAUCAUCAUUACAACUUCUGUGUGACAUCUCAAUAGAAAUUUAUAUAAGUAGGAUACUUAUUAUUUAUUUAUUAUUUUAUUUUUUUAAAAGCUUUAUUCAUUAUUUCCUAUUGAAUAUUUUCUUUGGUGACAUUUAAGUUUUAUAUGGUUUUAUGUGCUAAGAUCAAUUAUGAUUGUUACUUUUUCACCAUCUUCAGUUGGCUUUGGAGUAAAACCCUAAGAUUUUAUUUCCUAAGUUUGUCACAUUUCGAACCCAUGCAAUUUAUAUCUCUUCGAACUUUCAAAAUCAUGGUCUUAUUCUCUCACAGUCGUAGAUGUUUUGGAAGAAGUCCCAAAACCUCUCCUAAUGUGCAUGUUAUCUAAUUUCUUUUGACUUCGCCGAGUACAAUGGUAAUUCCUUAUUUUCCUUAGUAACCUCGGAAUUAUUUUCAUGUCUACAUUUUACCUAAAAUAAAACAUUACCUCAAUGAUUUUUCUGUUGGCUCCCAAAAUAAACGUUGGUGGAUUUUAAAAAGUGGGUGUUUGUGUCAUCAAAAUUCCUCUUUCUUACUCAAUGAUUUACUACGCAAGCAAUUUACUCCGGCUCAUUGAUUCUUAUUAUUUUAGAACUCAAUAUAGUCAGAUUAUCUUGAGAAUGACUUAAUUUAAAUUCGUUGAGAUUUUCAAUUCAUGAGAUAGGAAACUUACGAUCACGAGAGUCGUUGACAAUUAUACAAGGAUCUCACUAGAUUGUUUCCACUUUUCCCUUCAAUAUUCCCUACUGGCUAUUCUAUUUUGCUCACUCUUUUCCAGUAAUCAUUUUCUACCCAAAAGAAGACCAAUAUCUUGUCCCCUCAUGCUCCCUUGCCUCACUGUACCCGUACCCAUCCCUCUAUACCUGCACCAUACUCAACCAUACUGUCCACAGAGAUUUCAGAAUUUAAUUCACAGUGUCCAUAAAUAUAUAUAUGCAUUGUCCAGUUAGUGUAACUUUUCCAGAAUUUAAUUGGUAACAACCUUUGUUUCAGAAAGCAUAAAUCAGUACCAUUACACACACACCCGCAUAUUCACAGUGUCUGUUUAUAAAUAUAUAUGCAUUAUCUAGUUAGUGUAACUUUUCCGGGGCAUCGACCCCGCGACCCGUCACUGGGCCAUUAAUAUCACAAUAAAUAGCUCGUUCUCCAGAGCACGACAAUUCACUAUUUUUAAUCAAUAACGACCGAGAACCCGACCACACACACAUAACCACAUCGUUCUUCAUUUCUGUUAGAAUAUUAAUAUUUAAAAAAUUGAACGUUAUAUAAAGAAUUCCAUCAACCAAUCAAACCGCAAAUAGUUCAUAGUAGUAUGGUAGCUGCUCGAGAGUGACAGGUAAGCGAAUCAUUUUCACUUUUCUUCUAAGACAAACUCUCUCUCUCUC